rnacentral:rRNA from 1 species
AGUGAACGCUGGCGGUAGGCCUAACACAUGCAAGUCGAACGGCAGCACAGGAGAGCUUGCUCUCUGGGUGGCGAGUGGCGGACGGGUGAGGAAUACAUCGGAAUCUACUCUGUCGUGGGGGAUAACGUAGGGAAACUUACGCUAAUACCGCAUACGACCUACGGGUGAAAGCAGGGGACCUUCGGCCCUUGCGCGAUUGAAUGAGCCGAUGUCGGAUUAGCUAGUUGGCGGGGUAAAGGCCCACCAAGGCGACGAUCCGUAGCAGGUCUGAGAGGAUGAUCAGCCACACUGGAACUGAGACACGGUCCAGACUCCUACGGGAGGCAGCAGUGGGGAAUAUUGGACAAUGGGCGCAAGCCUGAUCCAGCCAUACCGCGUGGGUGAAGAAGGCCUUCGGGUUGUAAAGCCCUUUUGUUGGGAAAGAAAUCCAGCUGGUUAAUACCCGGUUGGGAUGACGGUACCAAAAGAAUAAGCACCGGCUAACUUCGUGCCAGCAGCCGCCGUAA